rnacentral:tRNA from 1 species
AGGCGGAUAGCUCAGCGGUAGAGCACUCCGGCGAAUAACGGAAUGUAGCCUGGACCCCUGCAUUCCGGCCAAGCCCAGCAACUUGGCGGCCCGCAUGAGGGCUGAUGGCGCCGGAAAGGUCGCAGGUUCGAUCCCGGCUCCGCCUA